GGCGGCAGCGUCAAAAACAUCAAAGGAGUGGGCCAUCUAUUCAUUCUUUACUCCAGUUUUAGCAAGUCUCCGCCCUCUAGUCAUUUGAAGUCAACUACGGAGCAGAACGCGGAAUCUGGCGAAGUUAUAAAUUAUCCCAUAUAUAUCUUGGUCGAAGGAACUCCAAGAAAUUUAUUUAAGAAGCUCGCUAUAAAACGAUAAUGAAUACCAAAGUCUGCACCGCUAUCUUUGUGUGCCUGGCGGCUUUUAUCGUGAUGUGUUCUGCAAGCAACCAUACGAUAGCAAGCAGCACAGUUCAACCCACACCUGAACAAGUCGUUCAAUCCACACCUGCACAAGUCGUGAUUUCAACAAGCCAGGUUACCACCAACAAGAUUAGUGGCACUAUAAAUGCUAAUGCUACAGUGAUACUGCCAUCGGCUUCGCUCGGACCAACAACAAAAGCGAACGCUACAACCACUACUGGCGCUGCGACAACCUUCAAAUCAAGUCUGCCUUGGUUUGUUGCAUUAUCGCUCUUCGUAGCACGUUUUAUGUAACUUGUGCUAUGUUCAGAAAUUCUGAUCGGUGAGACGAGUGGAGCAAGAUAAAACAUGAACAAGAACGGACAAAUUGUGUGUUGAAUUUCUUGCAGUGAACUAAAAUUUGAACACUUUUAAAACUCUAGUUUAUUAAUUAAGCUUUGUUGGUAAUUUGUAGGGGAACAAUUAGAAUAUUAGACUUUGUGAUAGCUCUAAUUAAUAUUAACGUAGGAAUUUGUUAAGGUUAUGUAGUUAUUUUAUCGUUAAACUAUAUAGUUAUUUAUAUAGGCCAUAUAUCAGUUUUGGGAAAGACUUGAAUUAAAAUAUGUGCUGGGGCAAAUCUUGUGACACGUGUUAUGUGUUUAAUAUUGCCCUACAAUUUAAUUUAUUGUUUUGUGCAGUUGACUAAUUUUGCUUGCCUGGGCUAUUAAUUUCGGGCGAAUUUCAUUGUAGUAGUCCUUGUAUCGACCAAAUAGUUGUGAUUUAUCAGAGUGUUUGCAUUUUAAAGUUAAAAUUUUGUAUUUCACUUCUGACCGACAAAAAGUUCCAGGAUCCUAACAAAAUCUAGACGAAGAUUUCCGUGCCACAGUUUACUGUAACUAUUUUGGACUAAGUGUAUAAAUUCGCUAAUCAUGCAGAUUGCCAAAUUAUUUAAUAGAUUUUUCUUGAACUUUUGUGCGUUUACAAAAAUGUGCUUUCCUAAUCAAUUUUGCAUGCAACGU